AGCCUCAUUCUGGAUUAGAAUGGGUACUGUUGAUUGGUGUCCAGAAUGGGUCAAUGUGGCUAAAAUUGAGACACGGGUCAUGAUUCCACCACAGUAAAUAUUUACAAUGGUGACAAUGAGAAUUGUAACAUUU
rnacentral:snoRNA from 1 species